rnacentral:rRNA from 1 species
GUGCCAGCAGCCGCGGUAAUACCGGCAGCCCGAGUGAUGGCCGAUCUUAUUGGGCCUAAAGCGUCCGUAGCUGGCCGACCACGUCUCCCGGGAAAUCCACCCGCCCAACGGGUGGGCUUCCGGUAGAAACUGGCCGGCUUGGAACCGGAAGGCUCAGAGAGUACGUCCGGGGUAGGAGUGAAAUCCCGUAAUCCCGGACGGACUACCGAUGGCGAAAGCACUCUGAGAAGACGGCUUCGACAGUGAGGGACGAAAGCUCGGGUCUCAAACCGGAUUAGAAACCCCAGUAUCC